rnacentral:rRNA from 1 species
GAUGAACGCUGGCGGCGUGCCUAAUACAUGCAAGUCGAGCGAAUGGAUUAAGAGCUUGCUCUUAUGAAGUUAGCGGCGGACGGGUGAGUAACACGUGGGUAACCUGCCCAUAAGACUGGGAUAACUCCGGGAAACCGGGGCUAAUACCGGAUAACAUUUUGAACCGCAUGGUUCGAAAUUGAAAGGCGGCUUCGGCUGUCACUUAUGGAUGGACCCGCGUCGCAUUAGCUAGUUGGUGAGGGAACGGCUCACCAAGGCAACGAUGCGUAGCCGACGUGAGAGGGUGAUCGGCCACACUGGGACAGGGACAAGGCCCAGACUCCUACGGGAGGCAGCAGUAGGGAAUCUUCCGCAAUGGACGAAAAUCUGACGGAGCAACGCCGCGUGAGUGAUGAAGGCUUUCGGGUCGUAAAACUCUGUUGUUAGGGAAGAACAAGUGCUAGUUGAAUAAGCUGGCACCUUGACGGUACCUAACCAGAAAGCCACGGCUAACUACGUGCCAGCCGCCGCGGUAA